UACGUAGGGGGCAAGCGUUGUCCGGAAUCAUUGGGCGUAAAGAGCGUGUAGGCGGUUCGGUAAGUCGGCUGUGAAAGUCCAGGGCUCAACCCUGGGAUGCCGGUCGAUACUGCCGGACUAGAGUUCGGAAGAGGCGAGUGGAAUUCCCGGUGUAGCGGUGAAAUGCGCAGAUAUCGGGAGGAACACCUAUGGCGGAAGGCGGCUAUCUGGACGGGUUUCUGACACUA
rnacentral:rRNA from 1 species